ensembl:snRNA U1 U1 spliceosomal RNA
AUACUUACCUGGCAGGGGAGAUACCAUGAUCAUGAAGGUAGUUUUCCCAGGGCGAGGCUUAUCCCUUGCUCUCCAGAUGUGCUGACCCUUGCGAUUUCCCCGAAUGUGGGAAACUCAACUGCAUAAUUCAUGGUAGUGGGGACUGUAUUUGUGCUCUCCCCUG